UACAGAGGGUGCAAGCGUUGUUCGGAAUUAUUGGGCGUAAAGGGAGUGUAGGCGGUGAGUUAAGUCUUCUGUGAAAUCUACGGGCUUAGCCUGUAAAGUGCAGAGGAAACUGGCUGACUUGAGUAUCGGAGAGGGCAGGGGAAUACCCAGUGUAGAGGUGAAAUUCGUAGAGAUUGGGUGGAACACCAGUGGCGAAGGCGCCGGCCUGGCUGAUGACUGACGCUGAGACUCGAAAGCAUGGGGAGCAAACAGG
rnacentral:rRNA from 1 species